rnacentral:rRNA from 1 species
UCCGUAGGUGAACCUGCGGAAGGAUCAUUAGUGAAUUUAGAGCGUAACUUCGGUUAGCUCAACCUUCAUUUCCCAACUCUGUGCACUAUUGGCGGACUGAGAGUAAGCAAUUACUAUUCAGUCUGCGGCUCACUAUUAAACAUUAGUUAAAGUAUGUAUAUAAAAACAAAACAAAAAAAACUUUCAACAACGGAUCUCUUGGCUCUCGCAUCGAUGAAGAACGCAGCGAAAUGUGAUAAGUAAUGUGAAUUGCAGAAUUCAGUGAAUCAUCGAAUCUUUGAACGCACCUUGCGCUCUCUGGUAUUCCGGAGAGCAUGUCUGUUUGAGUGUCAUGAACUCUUCAACCUACCGGUUUCUAGUAAAUCGGAUUAGUGUUUGGAUUCUGAACGCUUGCUGGCCUUUAUUGGCGAAGCUCGUUCGUAAAUGAUUAGCAUCUCAUAUUCGAAAAUCGGAUUGACUCAGUGUAAUAGACUAUUCGCUGAGGACGCUCUUUCGGGAGUGGCCGAGUUUUGUAAAGUAGAAGCUUCUAAUUCUAUUAGUCAACUUUAGAUUAGACCUCAGAUCAGGCAGGAUUACCCGCUGAACUUAAGCAUAUCAAUAAGCGGAGGA